ensembl:processed_transcript
CACUUAAUUACUAACACCUGACCUGCAGUGCAGCAGAAUUCAGAGGUAAGCGUGUUUUUAGAUGCUUUAAUGUUUUAUUUACCCCCCGAUUUUGUUUUACACACAGUGUAUCUUAAAUGUGACUUAGUGUAUUGUUUCGAAUUUUGAAGCAUUUAAAACUUUCCAGUUUGGUUUAGUUUGCGCUCCGGUGACGCGCAGCUAACCUCGAGACAUGUAACUUAACGUACUCCAGAGACGCACUCACUUGCACAGCAUUGAAUGGAAAAGGCUUUGUCCAUGUCCAGUUGAGGGCAUCAAGAACACGCAGAUAGCAUAAACCUGUGUCAGCCUGGACAGACUGUAGAUCUGCUACUCAACGCCAAGGCUUUUGUAUGCAUGUCUGACUACUACAGUGUUCUUUAAAGGUUUUCUGGAAGCUCCAUUUGAGGGCAUCAAGGACAUACUGAUGGCCUAAACCAGUGUCAGCCUAGACAGACAGACAUCUAUUGCAGUUCUGCUACACAAGACCAAACUCUCUGCUUUUGUAUGGAUGUCUGACUAGUACAGUGUUCUCUAAAGGUAUAACUGGAGCAAAACAACAGCAUCCGUUACAGUGAAAUUUGUGUUCAUAAAAGAUAGUGAUAUAUGUGUAACAGGUCCAGUACAUUUGUCAUAAAGGUUAAAUCACAGUAAGUACUGUAAAAAUAACUUGUUUGCCUCUGCCACAACAGGUCAUGGUGUGUGCAUACUGCUCGUAGUAAACACACACGCUGAUCUGAUGCGGGAGAGAUAUACGCAAACACAUUUGUAUU